rnacentral:rRNA from 1 species
GAGUUUGAUCCUGGCUCAGGACGAACGCUGGCGGCGCGCUUAACACAUGCAAGUCGAGCGAGAACCAGGCCUUCGGGCCUGGGGAAAGCGGCGAACGGGUGAGUAACACGUGGGUAACCCACCCUUGGUACCGGGAUAGCCCGAGGAAACUCGGAUUAAUACCGGAUGGCCCAACAGGCUUUCGAGCCGGUUGGAAAAGGUAGCUUCGGCCUCCGACCAAGGACGGGCCCGCGGCGGAUUAGCUUGUUGGUGAGGGUAAUGGCCCACCAAGGCGACGAUCCGUAGCUGGUCUGAGAGGACGAUCAGCCACACUGGGACUGAGACACGGCCCAGACUCCUACGGGAGGCAGCAGUGGGGAAUCUUGCGCAAUGGGCGAAAGCCUGACGCAGCGACGCCGCGUGGGGGAAGAAGGCUUUCGGGUUGUAAACCCCUUUCAGGAAGGACGAAGCCACUCGGGUUAAUAGCCCAGAGGGUGACGGUACUUCCAGAAGAAGCCCCGGCUAACUACGUGCCAGCCGCCGCAG